rnacentral:rRNA from 1 species
UAGGGAAUCUUCCGCAAUGGACGCAAGUCUGACGGAGCAACGCCGCGUGAGUGAAGAAGGAUUUCGGUUCGUAAAACUCUGUUGUUAGAGAAGAACAGCGCAUAGAGUAACUGUUAUGCGUGUGACGGUAUCUAACCAGAAAGCCACGGCUAACUACGUGCCAGCAGCCGCGGUAAUACGUAGGUGGCAAGCGUUGUCCGGAUUUAUUGGGCGUAAAGCGAGCGCAGGCGGUCAAUUAAGUCUGAUGUGAAAGCCCCCGGCUCAACCGGGGAGGGUCAUUGGAAACUGGUUAACUUGAGUGCAGAAGAGGAGAGUGGAAUUCCAUGUGUAGCGGUGAAAUGCGUAGAUAUAUGGAGGAACACCAGUUACGAAGGCGACUCUCUGGUAUGUAACUGACGCUGAGGCUCGAAAGCGUGGGUAGCAAACAGG